AAGCCCUGGGCAAACUUAGACUUGCUCCAAGUCUCUCUUUCAUUGUCAUAUAGCUACGUCAUGUAAUGUACACUAUAGUGGAUCGAUAUGACAAUGAAAGAGAGACUUGGAGCAAGUCUAGGGCAAACUAGGCAA
rnacentral:miRNA from 1 species